AGUGGCGUACGGGUGAGUAACACGUAGCCAACCUACCCUCGAGUGGGGAAUAACCUGGGGAAACCUGGGCUAAUGCCGCAUAACAUCCCCACAAGCAAAGGCCCGCUGGAGGAGGGGGCUGCGGCCGAUUAGCUAGUUGGUGAGGUAACGGCUCACCAAGGCGAUGAUCGGUAACCGGCCUGAGAGGGCGCACGGUCACACUGGCACUGAAACACGGGCCAGACUCCUACGGGAGGCAGCAGUGGGGAAUUUUGCACAAUGCCCGAAAGGGUGAUGCAGCAACGCCGCGUGAGGGAUGAAGGCCUUCGGGUCGUAAACCUCUUUCGACCGGAAAAAAUGAUGGUACCGGUGGAAGAAGCCCCGGCUAACUACGUGCCAGCAGCCGCGGUAAUACGUAGGGGGCGAGCGUUGUUCGGAAUUACUGGGCGUAAAGGG
rnacentral:rRNA from 1 species